UACGGGGGGGGCAAGCGUUGUUCGGAAUUACUGGGCGUAAAGGGCUCGUAGGUGGCCAACUAAGUCAGACGUGAAAUCCCUCAGCUUAACUGGGGAACUGCGUCUGAUACUGGAUGGCUUGAGUUUGGGAGAGGGAUGCGGAAUUCCAGGUGUAGCGGUGAAAUGCGUAGAUAUCUGGAGGAACACCGGUGGCGAAGGCGGCAUCCUGGACCAAUACUGACACUGAGGAGCGAAGGCCAGGGGAGCAAACGGG
rnacentral:rRNA from 1 species